ACAAACCAUACUUGUGAAUGUGUAUGAUACCACCAACUUUUCGCACCCUAUCAGCAUGUAUGGCUUGAAUAUAUCAAAUGAUAGGUUAUAACAUGUUAGUACACUUAACUUUGGUGACCCGUUUAGAAAACAUGAGAUGCGUUGCAGAUUCAAACAAAAACCAACGGUAUGAGAAACUAAAUGGUUUGCGAUGAUGAUUUCAAUUGGUAUCCUCGUAAUUGCAUUGCUUCUUGGGCAUAUAAUCAACGCAACAGUGAAUCGAAUAGCCAAAAUUGAGGAUGAUUACCAUGAGAUGAUGGAGCUGAAGAAACGAGCAGAGGAAGCUGAUGUUGCUAAAUCACAGUUCCUUGCUACUGUGUCCCAUGAGAUCAGAACCCCAAUGAAUGGUGUUCUUGGUAAGUU